UUUCAAAAUAUUCUCACAUUCAUGUUCUUAUGUGUUUCUUUUGACUUUUUACAUUGAUCCAUAUUUCAAGAUGAUUAUCACAUUAAGGUUCUUCUGUGUUACUUUUGCCCAAGUUGGGAUAGCU